rnacentral:rRNA from 1 species
AAGACCUUGCGCUUUUGGAGCGGCCGAUGCCUGAUUAGCUUGUUGGUAAGGUAAAGGCUUACCAAGGCUUCGAUCAGUAGCUGGUCUGAGAGGACGGCCAGCCACACUGGGACUGAGACACGGCCCAGACUCCUACGGGAGGCAGCAGUGGGGAAUUUUGGACAAUGGGGGCAACCCUGAUCCAGCCAUGCCGCGUGAGUGAAGAAGGCCUUCGGGUUGUAAAGCUCUUUCAGCCGGAACGAAACGGUUACGGUUAACACCCGUGACUACUGACGGUACCGGAAGAAGAAGCACCGGCUAACUACGUGCCAGCAGCCGCGGUAAUACGUAGGGUGCGAGCGUUAAUCGGAAUUACUGGGCGUAAAGCGUGCGCAGGUGGUUUUGUAAGUCAGAUGUGAAAGCCCCGGGCUCAACCUGGGAACU